rnacentral:ncRNA from 1 species
CAAAAGCUUGGUCCUGGCUUUACUAUCACCUCUAGCCAAACUUACACAUGCAAGUCUCCGCACCCCCGUGAGAAUGCCCUCAGCCCCCUAAUCGGGGGCGAGGGGCCGGCAUCAGGCACGCAACCGCAGCCCAAGACGCCUUGCUAAGCCACACCCCCAAGGGAGCUCAGCAGUGACAAAUAUUAAGCAAUAAGUGAAAACUUGACUUAGUUAAGGCUAAAAGGGCCGGUCAACCUCGUGCCAGCCACCGCGGUUAUACGAGGGGCCCAAGCUGAUAGACACCGGCGUAAAGCGUGGUUACGGAUAAAACCCACUAAAGUCAAACACCUCCCCGGCUGUUAUACGCCCCCUGGAGAUUGGAGACCCCCCUACGAAGGUGACUUUAAUACCCCUCCCGAACCCACCACAGCUAAGACACAAACUGGGAUUAGAUACCCCACUAUGCCUAGCCGUAAACUUAGAUAGAACCCUACACCCUCUAUCCGCCUGGGAACUACGAGCACCAGCUUCAAACCCAAAGGACUUGGCGGUGCUUUAGACCCACCUAGAGGAGCCUGUUCUAGAACCGAUACUCCCCGUUCAACCUCACCACCUCUGGCCCCAUCCCGCUUAUAUACCGCCGUCGCAAGCUUGCCCUUUGAAGGCCCCAUAGCAAGCUAAUAAGGUACAGCCCUAAACGUCAGGUCGAGGUGUAGCGCAUGAGGCGGAAAGAAAUGGGCUACAUUCUCUUGCGUCAGAGAAUACGAAACGUGUGAUGAAACUCACACUCAAAGGCGGAUUUAGCAGUAAGAAGAAAAAACGAGAGUUCUUCUGAAGACGGCUCUGAAGCGCGCACACACCGCCCGUCACUCUCCCCUAAACUACCACUUCCCAGCUACUUAACUACUUCUCAGCUGAAGGGGAGGCAAGUCGUAACAUGGUAAGUGUACCGGAAGGUGCACUUGGUAAAACA